UACGAGAGGCCCAAACGUUAUUCGGAUUUACUGGGCUUAAAGAGUUCGUAGGCGGUUCGGUAAGUGAGGUGUGAAAUCCCUUGGCUCAACCAAGGAAUUGCGCUUCAAACUGCCGGGCUCGAGGGAGAUAGAGGUGAGCGGAACUGAUGGUGGAGCGGUGAAAUGCGUUGAUAUCAUCAGGAACACCAGAGGCGAAGGCGGCUCACUGGGUCUCUUCUGACGCUGAGGCACGAAGGCCAGGGGAGCAAACGGG
rnacentral:rRNA from 1 species